CCUACGGGUGGCAGCAGUGAGGAAUAUUGGUCAAUGGCCGUAAGGCUGAACCAGCCAAGUCGCGUGAAGGAAGAAGGAUCUAUGGUUUUUAAACUUCGUUUUUAGGGGAAUAAAGUUAUCCACGUGUGUAUAUUUUCAUUUAUCCUAUGUUUAAGCAUCGGCUAACUCCGUGCCAUCAGCCGCGGUAAUACGGAGGAUGCGAGCGUGGUCCGGGUUGAUUGGGUUGAAAGGGUGCGUAGGUUGUAUUUUAAGUCAGCUGUGAAAGGUUGUGGCUCAAACAUAAGAUUGCCGUUGAAACUGGAAGACUUGAGUGUGUUUGAGGUAAGCGGAAUGCGAGGUGUAGCGGUGAAAUGUAUAGAUAUCACGAAGAACACCGAUUGCGAAGGCAGCUUACUAAGCCAUAACUGACACUGAAGCACGAAAGCGUGGGGAUCAAACAGGAUUAGAUACCCUAGUAGUC
rnacentral:rRNA from 1 species